rnacentral:ncRNA from 13 species
GCGUGGUGGAAUGGUAGACACAGGAGACUUAAAAUCUCCAGGCAGAAAUGCCGUGCCGGUUCGAGUCCGGCCGC